CGGGUGCGUAACACGUGGAUAACCUUCCUUCAGGUGGGGAAUAACCCAGUGAAAACUGGGCUAAUACCGCAUAACAUGACGAUGGCACAUGCUGUUGUCUUCAAAGGCGCAAGUCGCCAGAAGAGGGAUCCGCGGCCGAUUAGCUUGUUGGCGAGGUAAUGGCUCACCAAGGCAUUGAUCGGUAGCCGGACUGAGAGGUUGGCCGGCCACACUGGAACUGAGACACGGUCCAGACUCCUACGGGAGGCAGCAGUGGGGAAUCUUGCACAAUGGACGAAAGUCUGAUGCAGCAACGCCGCGUGGGGGAUGAAGCUUUUCGGAGUGUAAACCCCUUUCGACCCGGACGAAUGUCCCGCAAGGGAUUGACGGUACGGGUAGAAGAAGCCCCGGCUAACUACGUGCCAGCAGCCGCGGUAAGACGUAGGGGACCAGCGUUGCUCGGAAUUACUGGGCGUAAAGGGUUCGUAGGCGGUGCGGCAAGUCGGGAGUGAAAUCUCUGGGCUUAACUCAGAGGCUGCUUCCGAAACUGCCGUGCUCGAGUGCGGGAGAGGCGAGUGGAAUUGCAGGUGUAC
rnacentral:rRNA from 1 species